rnacentral:rRNA from 1 species
CACAAGCGGUGGAGUAUGUGGUUUAAUUCGAUGCAACGCGAAGAACCUUACCUGGUCUUGACAUCCCGGAGACCCUUAGGAAACUAGGGGGUGCUUCCAUCUGGAAGAAUCUGGAGACAGGUGCUGCAUGGCUGUCGUCAGCUCGUGUCGUGAGAUGUUGGGUUAAGUCCCGCAACGAGCGCAACCCUUGCCUUUAGUUGCCAGCAGUUCGGCUGGGCACUCUAAAGGGACUGCCGGUGUUAAACCGGAGGAAGGUGGGGAUGACGUCAAGUCCUCAUGGCCUUUAUGACCAGGGCUACACACGUACUACAAUGGCCGAUACAAAGGGCAGCGACACUGCGAGGUGAAGCCAAUCCCGUAAAAUCGGUCUCAGUCCGGAUUGGAGUCUGCAACUCGACUCCAUGAAGUUGGAAUCGCUAGUAAUCGUGAAUCAGAAUGUCACGGUGAAUAACGUUCCCGGGCCUU